rnacentral:pre_miRNA from 1 species
AGUGGGAUAGCUGGGUCAAAUGGUGAUUGGGUUCCCAGUUUUCCAAGGAAUCUCCAAACUGCUUUCUAUGUUGGCUGCACCAAUUUGCGGUCCCACCAGCAAU